rnacentral:rRNA from 1 species
UUGGAGGGCAAGUCUGGUGCCAGCAGCCGCGGUAAUUCCAGCUCCAAUAGCGUAUAUUAAAGUUGUUGCAGUUAAAAAGCUCGUAGUUGAAUUUCGGGAUCAGCAAGUUGGUCGUGCCUCUGGUACGUACUGGCUUUACUGGUUCCUCCUUCUUGAAGAACUGUAAUGUCAUUAAUUUGGUGUUGCAGGGAAACAGGACUGUUACUUUGAAAAAAUUAGAGUGUUUAAAGCAAGCUAACGCUUGAAUACAUUAGCAUGGAAUAAUAAAAUAGGACGUUUGAUCCUAUUUUGUUGGUUUCUAGGAUUGACGUAAUGAUUAAUAGGGAUAGUUGGGGGCAUUAGUAUUCAAUUGUCAGAGGUGAAAUUCUUGGAUUUAUUGAAGACUAACUACUGCGAAAGCAUUUGCCAAGGAUGUUUUCAUUAAUCAAGAACGAAAGUUAGGGGAUCGAAGACGAUCAGAUACCGUCGUAGUCUUAACCAUAAACUAUGCCGACUAGGGAUCGGAUGAUGUUAAUUUUUUAAUGACUCAUUCGGCGCCUUACGGGAAAC